CCCACCAUUUGCUUCAACGUGGAUGGAUCUAGAUGGUAUUAUGCUGAGUGAAACUCACAUUAUGAAUUGCCUCCCCGGAGAAACCAACCCCUCCUCCCCCAAAAAAGGCCUCGAUCCAAUAAACCAACUUUUAACGGAGCAGCAUCUUUCAAUCGAAGGACGAUGGCAACUUAUCUCUGGAUCCUAGCUUGGUGGUGACACGAAUUCUCUGAGCUGCCCAAUCUCACUCAAGUGCUGAAACAGAUCUCUGGUGCGAGAGCCUUGCAUGAAGAAAGACGUAUCCUUAAACCCUGGAGAGAUGUCCACACCUUGGAAGUCUCAAGGGGACCCAAAUCAACCAAGGGAAUGCCAGAUUCAUGUCCAUUCUGGAGCCUAUGCUCAUUGAGUGGAAGGUUGCCAGAGGUGGUCUGAAGUCAUGCUGAUGCUGAUCACAGACCUAAUAAUCCUCUAUCCGUACGUCCAUGCACCCACCUACGAAUCCCUGCAUCCAUCUGUGUCUCUUCAUUCUAAGCACACUUACUGAAGCACCUGUCCCUGUUGCAAGUCAGCCCCUAAAAUGGUCCGAAUGGAUUUGAACUUUUGCCAACCCAACAGUCUGUGGAAUUGGACCAAGGAGAUACGGACUCAGUGAAACAUGGAGCCUUGCAAAGUACACAGGAAAAAUAAACGAAUGCAUGAAAUGGCAAUUUCCUGAGUGGGACCUGGGUUCCGGGGAAAGCUUCUGAGCACACAGGGCUGGAGAUAAAGCUGGUUUCUCUCCUGUAGCCUCUGUUUGUGCUUAGGCUGUGUUUGAUCAUCUCGAUUUGUUUGGAAUCAAGGACCUUCUCCACCCAUUUAUCCCUGGCCUUCUCCUGGAUCUGCAAUGAGAGUGUGUGUAAAGCUGAAUUCAUAGCCUGAGGACAUUCUCUCAGCAGCUCCUUGUAAUGAUCUAAAUAUAGACACCUCACCUCCGGUGCAGAGCGAGGAGGAGAGAGACAGCUUUGCAGACUUGCUGCCGCAUCCUCAGAUUUGAGACCCGUACUUUGUGUGAUCCUGCUGAGUCACAGGUCUUUUAGUACUGUUCCUCCAUCUGUAAAAUGGGAACAGCUGCUGUUUCCGGGACGAAAACAGGUAAGAAGUCCAAAGGAUUUUUGCGAACUGUAAAGUGCUGCAGUAACAUUAGGGUUUGAGGACAGGGUCCCUGGGGAGUACCAAACACAGGCUCUGGAUCCAGGCUGUAUGAAUUCACGUCCCAUUUCCGCCACUUCCUGUGACUUGGGCAAGUGACUGCACAUCUCUGUACCCCAGUUUCUCAUUUAUACAAUGAGUUAAUAAUAGUUUCUGUCUCAUGAGGGUGUUGUGGGGUCAAGUGAGCUAACAGAUGUAAAGAUCUCAGCACCUUG